AGCGAACGCUGGCGGCAGGCCUAACACAUGCAAGUCGAACGAACCUUUCGGGGUUAGUGGCGGACGGGUGAGUAACACGUGGGAACGUGCCUUUAGGUUCGGAAUAACUCAGGGAAACUUGUGCUAAUACCGAAUGUGCCCUUCGGGGGAAAGAUUAAUCGCCUUUAGAGCGGCCCGCGUCUGAUUAGCUAGUUGGUUGAGGUAAUGGCUCACCAAGGCGACGAUCAGUAGCUGGUCUGAGAGGAUGAUCAGCCACAUUGGGACUGAGACACGGCCCAAACCCCAGCGGAAGGCGGCGGGGGGAAAUUUGGCGAAAGGGGCGAAGGCCUGACGCACCCUCGCCGCGUGAAUAAUGAAGGUCUAAGAAUUGAAAAUUUCUUUACCGGGGGACGAUAAUGACGGUCCCCGAAAAAGAAGCCCCGGCUAACUCCGUC
rnacentral:rRNA from 1 species